rnacentral:rRNA from 1 species
UCCUGACUGACCGAUAGUGAACCAGUACCGUGAGGGAAAGGCGAAAAGAACCCCGGCGAGGGGAGUGAAAAAGAACCUGAAACCGUGUACGUACAAGCAGUGGGAGCACGCUUAGGCGUGUGACUGCGUACCUUUUGUAUAAUGGGUCAGCGACUUAUAUUCUGUAGCAAGGUUAACCGAAUAGGGGAGCCGAAGGGAAACCGAGUCUUAACUGGGCGUUAAGUUGCAGGGUAUAGACCCGAAACCCGGUGAUCUAGCCAUGGGCAGGUUGAAGGUUGGGUAACACUAACUGGAGGACCGAACCGACUAAUGUUGAAAAAUUAGCGGAUGACUUGUGGCUGGGGGUGAAAGGCCAAUCAAACCGGGAGAUAGCUGGUUCUCCCCGAAAGCUAUUUAGGUAGCGCCUCGUGAAUUCAUCUCCGGGGGUAGAGCACUGUUUCGGCAAGGGGGUCAUCCCGACUUACCGACCCGAUGCAAACUGCGAAUAUCGGAGAAUGUUAUCACGGGAGACACACGGCGGGUGCUAACGUCCGUCGU